GAAUCAUUGGGCGUAAAGCGCACGUAGGCGGCAGCGUAAGCGGAAUGUGAAAGCCCAGGGCGCAAACCUGGAAGUGCAUCACGAACUGCGUCGCUUGAAUCUCGGAGGGGGACAGAGAAUUCCCGGUGUAGAGGUGAAAUUCGUAGAUAUCGGGAGGAAUACCAGUGGCGAAGGCGCUGUCCUGGACGAAGAUUGACGCUGAGGUGCGAAAGCGUGGGGAGCAAACA
rnacentral:rRNA from 1 species